rnacentral:rRNA from 1 species
GAUGAACGCUAGCGGCAGGCUUAACACAUGCAAGUCGAGGGGCAGCACGUCUUCGGAUGGUGGCGACCGGCGCACGGGUGCGUAACGCGUAUACAAUCUACCUUUUACAGGGGCAUAGCCCGGGGAAACCCGGAUUAAUAUCCCAUGGUACCAUGAUAUGGCAUCAUAUUAUGGUUAAAGCUUUGGCGGUGAAAGAUGAGUAUGCGUUCUAUUAGCUAGAUGGUAAGGUAACGGCUUACCAUGGCUUUGAUAGAUAGGGGUCCUGAGAGGGAGAUCCCCCACACUGGUACUGAGACACGGACCAGACUCCUACGGGAGGCAGCAGUGAGGAAUAUUGGACAAUGGGUCGGAGAGCCGUGAUCCAGCCAUGCCGCGUGCAGGAAGACGGCCCUAUGGGUUGUAAACUGCUUUUAUACGGGAAGAAACACCCCUUCGUGAAGGGACUAGACGGUACCGUAUGAAUAAGGAUCGGCUAACUCCGUGCCAGCAGCCGCGGUAAUAC